CUGCGCGGGGGGCGAAGGGUGCCGUCCCGACCAGGAGGGCCCCUGGGUCCCACAGCGAGACGGCCGCACUGCGAUGCCUGGGAGCCGGGGGGCUGUCUGUGCCAGGGGCGGCAGACUGACCGCAGGGAGGCGGCGCGGUGGCUGAGGAGCGCGGGCCGCGGAACCCGAAGGCCGGUGCUUUCCUCCGGGCCGUUUGCCAGGUGUGCUCGGCCCGCGGAGCCGAGCCCUGGGAGCCUCGCCCCUCCUUCGCAAAAUGGGAGCUGUGGCACCUGCUUCAGAGUUGUCCUGUGAGAAUUAAAUGUUAAUUGUAUCUAAAACUCUUACAUGGCCCCAACACACAGUGAGCUUCCAGUCAACGUGGUUGCUGCUGGGUUGUGAAGAGCCACAACGUACCUGAUUGCCAGGGGACCCCGCAAGUACCAGGGGACCCCGCAAGUGCCAGGGGACCCCGCAAGCGCGUCAGCUGCUCCGCUAUCCCAGGGCCCAGAGUGUGCGAGCCUGCUGGAAACACAGUGUGGAUAUGGACUUGGUCUGACCCGAUGAGAAAUGGGACUCUUCUAGAAUUGUUGUCCAACAACUGUUCAUCAGAGUGAAUAGAAGACAUGAAUCUAAUUUAUUCUGUAACUUCAAGAAGUAGGGAAUCCUCCCUAACGCAUUCUAUGAAGCCAGUAUCAUCUUGAUGCCGAAGCCAGGAAAGGACACAACAACAACA